AAAGCUGAAAACAUGAGUGCAGGAUAACAGGCUGGAAGGCCCUUCCCUUGGAGGGGAGAGAGAGGGGAGUUGUUCCAGGAGCCAAGCAAAGGCAAUCAGAAAUUGAGGAUCCCACUCCGAGGGAAAACACAAGCAACCCAGUCAGACCAGACUGGAUCCGCUGAAUUCAGAUGUGGCAGAAGAUCAGGUGUGGCAGAGCUGACGUUCCAGUUGGAGGAAAUGAAUGACAAAACCAGAAAAGAUCAUGUGGCAACUAAAGGAAGAGACCUGAGUGGCAAGAAAGAGUCGGCUGUGCCAAGAUCUGGAGAGCAUUCCAGGGAACAGAAGCGGAAGGUCCCGAAGGAGAUGGGAGCUCGGUGUGUGGGAGGAAGGGCCAGUGUUGUCAAACGGUCGAAGCUCAAUGAGAAGGGAGAUGAGCAGGGCAAGGAGGCCAGCUGCCACACCAUGAGGGCACUCAAGCAGAAACAUGGAGAGGCCCACAUGGAGAGGAACUGGGUCCCCCUGACAAGAGCUGGCAGCAAUUCA